CCCUUAGAUGUCCUGGGCCGCACGCGCGCUACACUGAUGCAUGCAACGAGUUUAUAACCUUGGCCUGAAAGGUCUUGGUAAUCUUUUGAACGUGCAUCGUGAUAGGGAUAGAUUAUUGCAAUUGUUAAUCUUGAACGAGGAAUUCCUAGUAAACGCGAGUCAUCAGCUCGCAUUGAUUACGUCCCUGCCCUUUGUACACACCGCCCGUCGCACCUACCGAUUGAAUGGUUCGGUGAAGAUCUCGGACUUCGAUAUUUAUUCUUUAUUGAGUUUAUAUUGUGGGAAGUUAUCUAAACCUCAUCAUUUAGAGGAAGGUGAAGUCGUAACA
rnacentral:rRNA from 1 species